GACGGGGGGGCAAGUCUUCUUCGGAAUGACUGGGCGUAAAGGGCACGUAGGCGGUGAAUCGGGUUGAAAGUCAAAGUCGCCAAAAACUGGCGGAAUGCUCUCGAAACCAAUUCACUUGAGUGAGACAGAGGAGAGUGGAAUUUCGUGUGUAGGGGUGAAAUCCGGAGAUCUACGAAGGAACGCCAAAAGCGAAGGCAGCUCUCUGGGUCCCUACCGACGCUGGGGCGCGAAAGCAUGGGGAGCGAACGGG
rnacentral:rRNA from 1 species